GAACUUUUCCCAACAAACACAAAUAGGGUUCCUUAGUUCUGGUCCCCACGUGACAUGGUAUACUGUUCUCUUGUUCUCCUUGGGGACAUAGAGGCAGACACAGAUGUAGACAAAUAGCAGGUGAGGAGGAAGAGCCACCAAGCAUGCUGCAGACUUACAAACAGCAGCUGCAGAGCUGUAAACAAUGGGGCUAUUAAUAGAUCAGGAACAGCCUGCAUUUGCCUGCACAUGCGCUUCAAUCCUGCCACCUACUGGUCGUUCUCCUGAACUGUCAGCCGGACAGCCAUAGACACAAAGUGACUGGGUGCCCACGAUGAGGGAGAAGGCUGCCCAGAAAAGGCUGCGUUUCCUUUACCAGGAGAGGCUUCUUCUCAUCUCAUGGAGCUUGAUGAUGGCUGGCGCACUGUGAACAUCUCUGACGCAUCCACCCAUUGAUGGUCCCCAGGAGUUCAUGGGAAGAGGAAUGUGAGGGCAGUUGGGAGUGUGGCCUCUGUGACAUUGAAAGAUGAGUCCGCCCUAGCUUUUCCAUCUUGUCUCCUACCCUUGGUGUGGCUCCUGCACUUCUGGAUCACAGCUCAGGGAUGGCAGAGAGGGGACUGGCGGCAGCAGCAGCAGCAUCAUCAUCA